AUUGAACGCUGGCGGCAUGCUUUACACAUGCAAGUCGAACGGCAGCACGGGUGCUUGCACCUGGGUGGCGAGUGGCGGACGGGUGAGUAAUGCAUCGGAACGUGUCCUGAAGUGGGGGAUAACGCAUCGAAAGAUGUGCUAAUACCGCAUAUUCUCUGAGGAGGAAAAGUAGGGGAUCGAAAGACCUUGUGCUUUUGGAGCGGCCGAUGUCUGAUUAGCUAGUUGGUAGGGUAAUGGCUUACCAAGGCGACGAUCAGUAGUUGGUCUGAGAGGACGACCAGCCACACUGGGACUGAGACACGGCCCAGACUCCUACGGGAGGCAGCAGUGGGGAAUUUUGGACAAUGGGCGCAAGCCUGAUCCAGCAAUGCCGCGUGAGUGAAGAAGGCCUCGGUUGUAAGCUACUUCUACGUUGUAGAAGAAAAAGUAC
rnacentral:rRNA from 1 species